UACGAAGGGGGCUAGCGUUGCUCGGAAUCACUGGGCGUAAAGGGUGCGUAGGCGGGCCUUUAAGUCAGGGGUGAAAUCCUGGAGCUCAACUCCAGAACUGCCUUUGAUACUGAAGAUCUUGAGUUCGGGAGAGGUGAGUGGAACUGCGAGUGUAGAGGUGAAAUUCGUAGAUAUUCGCAAGAACACCAGUGGCGAAGGCGGCUCACUGGCCCGAUACUGACGCUGAGGCACGAAAGCGUGGGGAGCAAACAGG
rnacentral:rRNA from 1 species